rnacentral:rRNA from 1 species
AGCAGCCGCGGUAAUUCCAGCUCCAAUAGCGUAUAUUAAAGUUGUUGCAGUUAAAAAGCUCGUAGUUGAAUUUCGGGAUCAUCAGGUUGGUCGUGCCUCUGGUAUGUACUUUCCUCGAUGGUUCCUCCUUCUUGAAGAACCGUAAUGCCAUUAAUUUGGUGUGAGGGGGAAUCAGGACUGUUACUUUGAAAAAAUUAGAAUGUUUAAAGCAGGCUAACGUCUGAAUACAUUAGCAUGGAAUAAUAAAAUAGGACGGUUGGUUCUAUUUUGUUGGUUUCUAGGAUCACCGUAAUGAUCAAUAGGGAUAGUUGGGGGCAUUAGUAUUCAAUUGUCAGAGGUGAAAUUCUUGGAUUUAU